rnacentral:miRNA from 1 species
UCUUCUCUUUCCAGUCAUCAGC